GACUCUCAGGACAUCUUAUAAUAAAAGCUCUUUGUUCUUAUGUGGAAUCUUAGAUGUUCCCAAUUCUAAAUUCUCAAGUUCUGGGUAAGAUGCCUUGGAAAAAUAUUAUAUAUCAUUACGUCUUCCUUUCAGCUACAAUUAUGGAUGAUGCUCAGCUCAAGUAGUUUAUUAUCGAGGUGACCUUACAAGUCAUUGCUGGAUAUAAUCUCCAACGCUAAUCCAACAAAAACAAACCCCUUAUCUCAAUGGAAGAUCAGUGUGCACCUAGAGGAUAAAACAGCAGCACUAUAAACAUGUCAUUUCACAAAGAAGCCAGUCUGCUGGUUUAAAGGGUAAAAUACAUGCUUUAUUCUACCAGAUCUAAUAUGUCACACACACACAAAAAAAAAAAAAAACCUUACAUGGUUGCCCCGUUGUCCUCAUCUGCAUUCCUUCUACCUGUUGACUGAUCUGAUUGGUUGCAGUAAUUAUUGAGUGGAUCUUAAAUUGAGCUGUCUGAGCUUUGAGCCUUCCACGUAUAAAGAAUUCACGGUGGCUUUGUAAUGAUUUAAACAAAAAAUUUUAAAGAAUUUUUUUUUUUUAAACACCAACCUGAAGAAGGAGGAGGAGGGAUUGGAAGUGAAACUUGCAUUUUGUUCUGCCUGGAUUCCUGCAUAAAGGAUAAUAACAGAGACAUUUUGGAUUAGAAAUGUUCUACAAGAAGAAGGCUUCUAGAAGAAGAGAUAGGGGGUACAGCACAUGAGGAGAAAGUCAGCAAAUCUGCACAAAUGGCUGGAAAAAAAAAAAAAAAAUAAGAAUAAAAUGAACUUACCAGACAUUGGAGAAGAUCAGUAUUUUUUUAUUUUAGUUUUUUUCCCCUCUGAUUUUUCAAGGAAAAGGGGGGAAAAAAACAAAAAAACAGAAAUCCCCAGGGAUGCUGCAGCCUGGUCUAGAGAGCUAAGUCCCUUCUCUAAAGGCAGAAAAUAAGGCUCAAGAGUGUAAUUUCUUCAAAGUUCCCGAAAUAAAGCAGGUCCCUCUGCUGUAAUGGAGGCUGUGGAUAUAGGAUACCAAUGUAUUAUGGCUACAGAUAUAGGUUUGGAUUUUUUCCCCACCAUGCCAUCUAUUUAAAAACUCUAGAAACCAAUGAUUUGACAAUCAAUGAUUGCGCGAUAGUUUCAAUUUGAAUAUUCAAAGCCCUAACAAAAAGACAGAUCUUUUGGUGAAACAAAGCCCGUGUGCCUGUACCUGAGGGUCUUUAGGAAUAAGAUUCGACGUCGAUCCCUCCCACCGGACUUUUCGGAAAGAAAUUUUUAACAUUUUUUAAAAGCUUUCCCUAAAAUGAGCAGAGGGGAGGUUAAUUAGCCCGGUAAUGGUGAGGCAGGGAGCUGCAGAUCCCCCCUCGCUGUUUUGUAAGGGAGAGCUAGUGAUUUGGGAACUUAGGGCGCAGGCGACGGAAUUUUGGGGGGUCGCGCGGGGCUGAUUCGAGGGCUUUUUAAGGGGGAUACGAGGCAGCUAGGCCAGCAGGGGGCGUGGCAGCCGAGCAGACAGUGCUGAGCAUUGUGUCUUUGUGUGACAGGAGCAGGCCGGGCGCCUCGCAGCCUCCUCUGCUCGGGUGCAGCAUGUUACCACUGCCUUUUACACCCCCCCGCGUCCGCGAUAUUACAGAGGGGCGCGCGACAUAAAGGCGUGAACGCGCCCGUGCAGUGUAAUCGUGUGAAAAUCCCAUAUGUCAUGGCUGUACACACGUGCUAUAUAAUGACACAUCCUACUAAUCCUAUCUUAGUUUAUAGGUACAGGAAUACGUGCGCACAGCGUCGGAAGCCGGGGGCUAUACGGAGAUUACCUGGAGCGGAGGUGUUGAUGCCGAUGGGGAGUGCGGGUGACCUCCUGUCCUUCUUUUUACUCCCCGUGCAGUAAUCACUACUAGUAUAAUAUUCUAGGCUUGCGGUAAGGCUGCGUUCACACGGCCCUUUGUAUUUUGCGGUCCGCAAAAAAAUAUGGAUGACAUCCGUGUUGCAUCCGUUUUUUUUUUUUUUUUUUUGCGGAUCC